CUGAAAUAUGUCAUCUGCCUGAUCAGCCCCUUAUGCUGAGGUGUCCUGAUCAUUGCUCUGCCCUUCAUCAAUACAGAAGAAGAAAAAUUGCAGUUACUUUAUCGGGGAAUACCAGAAGGGGAGAUGAGAAGGCCAUUCAAUCAGUUCUGCCAGAAGACCAGACCGGCUAUGUGAAAACUACAAGCUUUUGUUCCUUUUGACUACAGCUGAGAUAGGACUUUGAGGCUUUGGAUUGCGUGUCCUUCUGCUUGUGUCUGGUCUCUAUAAUCAAUUUUAAUUACAGGAAAGGGAAGU
rnacentral:lncRNA from 11 species